rnacentral:rRNA from 1 species
CCUACGGGAGGCAGCAGUGAGGAAUAUUGGUCAAUGGGCGGAAGCCUGAACCAGCCAAGUCGCGUGAGGGAAGAAGGCCCUACGGGUCGCAAACCUCUUUUGCCGGGGAGCAAGGCCGCCGACGUGUCGCCGCCCGGAGAGUACCCGGAGAACAAGCAUCGGCUAACUCCGUGCCAGCAGCCGCGGUAAUACGGAGGAUGCGAGCGUUAUCCGGAUUUAUUGGGUUUAAAGGGUGCGUAGGCUGGUUUAUAAGUUAGCGGUGAAAAAUCGAUGCUCAACACCG